rnacentral:lncRNA from 1 species
UGUCACGACUUCCACCGAAGGUGGCUCCUCUCCCUGUUUGGGCGGUGCUCGGCGGUUGUCGUCACCGGCCUACUAGCUGCCACCAAUCCAUUUUCCUUUUCGUUUGUGUCUGUCUGUUUUGUUUACACCUGUGUCCUAUUAGUUGAUUUCGGUGGGUUUAUUAACCUCCGCUGCCUGCUUGUCUUUGUGCUGGAUUGUUUUGCUGUGGUUACUUUGUUAGGGGUGCGUGUCUGCACCACAGGGUUUUCUUUCUCACGGCAAUUGUACCGGUUUGGUAUGUGUUUAGGAGUAGAGGUUUCUCCCCCGUGUGUAGCGUUUAUUUCCCUGUGUGUGGCGACCUCGUUUGGGCGUAUUCCCCCCCAUGUUGUUGAGUUGCGACUUCUGAAUAAACUAUUGUGCCACUGGGACUUUCUUGCUCUCCUGCUCCUGAUUCCUGCACCUCCCUCCUUCUCGUGGGCACGUAACAGACUGGAUAUGCUGCCGUGCCAAAAUACAGAGGCAAGUGUCAAAGCAAACAUUCAGAGGAUGGGAGAGGAAUUAUGACUGCUGGACGCAGUGUCUCACCACGGAUGAACGACUCCAAAACGAUGUGGUAUGAGACCAGUCUGAACUGUCUGGAAUGACAAUUACAGAUCGAAGGGUAAAGUGGAUUUGAUAAUCUGGAGCAACAGUCAUGUUUUUUGACAAUAUGAAAACAGGUUCUUAUUUUCUGUUCUUUGAUUUGAUUUUUUGAUUUUGUGUGUGUGUGUGUGUGUGUGUGUGUGUGUGUGUGCGUGCGUGCGUGCGUGCGUGCGUAGGCGGGGACAUGUGUGCUGGAGUCAGAGCAGAUACUCAGCCCUGCCACUUCCAUGCUGCCAGAUCGUAAUUUCUGCUCAUUCUGCCCACUCUGACUCUGGUCCCUGUCUCCAGUCCCUCGUCUCGUCACCCUGCUACACUGUCCUGGAUUCCCCACUCUACUACUCCCUCAGAUUCCCCUCCAGACCUGCUUACACUGUCUCAACCCCUCUCGCCUCAGCCUCCACACCUGGUUUCCAGCAACCCGCCCAAGCUUCCCCUGACCUGCACUCUAUCUCCCCCUGUGUUUCAAUAAAUACCUUGGUAUACUUUAUCCCAGUCUCCUCGUCUGAGUCUGCUCUUUGGUUCCCCUGUUCCACUCCGCAUAACAUUUUGCUGUUAUUUCAAGUUCAAAUUGUAGGGCUAUAUUUCGUACAUUACCUUCAGAAUGUAUUCAUACCCCUUGAUUUAUUCCACAAU